AGAGUUUGAUCCUGGCUCAGGAUGAACGCUAGCGGCAGGCUUAACACAUGCAAGUCGAGGGGCAGCAUAAUGGAUAGCAAUAUCUAUGGUGGCGACCGGCGCACGGGUGCGUAACGCGUAUGCAACCUACCUUUAACAGGGGGAUAACACUGAGAAAUUGGUACUAAUACCCCAUAAUAUCAUAGAAGGCAUCUUUUAUGGUUGAAAAUUCCGAUGGUUAGAGAUGGGCAUGCGUUGUAUUAGCUAGUUGGUGGGGUAACGGCUCACCAAGGCGACGAUACAUAGGGGGACUGAGAGGUUAACCCCCCACACUGGUACUGAGACACGGACCAGACUCCUACGGGAGGCAGCAGUGAGGAAUAUUGGUCAAUGGACGCAAGUCUGAACCAGCCAUGCCGCGUGCAGGAUGACGGCUCUAUGAGUUGUAAACUGCUUUUGUACGAGGGUAAACGCAGAUACGUGUAUCUGUCUGAAAGUAUCGUACGAAUAAGGAUCGGCUAACUCCGUGCCAGCAGCCGCGGUAAUACGGAGGAUCCGAGCGUUAUCCGGAUUUAUUGGGUUUAAAGGGAGCGUAGAUGGAUGUUUAAGUCAGUUGUGAAAGUUUGCGGCUCAACCGUAAAAUUGCAGUUGAUACUGGAUAUCUUGAGUGCAGUUGAGGCAGGCGGAAUUCGUGGUGUAGCGGUGAAAUGCUUAGAUAUCACGAAGAACUCCGAUUGCGAAGGCAGCUUGCUGGACUGUAACUGACGCUGAUGCUCGAAAGUGUGGGUAUCAAACAGGAUUAGAUACCCUGGUAGUCCACACAGUAAACGAUGAAUACUCGCUGUUUGCGAUAUACAGUAAGCGGCCAAGCGAAAGCGUUAAGUAUUCCACCUGGGGAGUACGCCGGCAACGGU
rnacentral:rRNA from 1 species